rnacentral:rRNA from 1 species
UACGAAGGGGGCUAGCGUUGCUCGGAAUCACUGGGCGUAAAGCGCACGUAGGCGGGUCCUUAAGUCGGGGGUGAAAUCCUGGAGCUCAACUCCAGAUCUGCCUUCGAUACUGAGGAUCUCGAGUCCGGGAGAGGUGAGUGGAACUGCGAGUGUAGAGGUGAAAUUCGUAGAUAUUCGCAAGAACACCAGUGGCGAAGGCGGCUCACUGGCCCGGUACUGACGCUGAGGUGCGAAAGCGUGGGGAGCAAACAGG